rnacentral:piRNA from 1 species
UGUGAAAAUUUGAAAAUAUGGCUUUGAAUCU